rnacentral:ribozyme from 1 species
AAAUAAAGAAGAAAUAAUAAUAAAAAUAUAAUAAAACAUUUCAAUUAAACGUGUUCUGAACUUUUUUUUUUUCU